rnacentral:other from 2 species
GUGUCCUGCCGCAUAGGCAGCUAAGAAA